GAAGAGUCACCUCCGGGCUUAUUCUCACACGUGGAAGCUUUUUAGCAAUUUGCAAAGACAACCUGCUUCCAGAGGCCCGAGGGAAAACGCAUGGAGAGAGCGUGGGCGGGCGGAGGCAUCCAGCUCAGCGUGCAGGGUCGGGGGUCACACCUGGCCGCCCCAUCCCCCCGCCUCGGCUCUGCCCCCAGACCCUGACCCCCCAGGGCCGCGCUGAGCAUUUGCAAAUCCUGAUUCCUCCUGCUUCCGCCCUCUCUCUCUGACCCGACGUCAGAGGCUGCGGGACACCCGGUGCGGCUGCGACCGUAUGAGUUUCCGUGGCUGCCGUGGCCAAGUCCCCGGUCCUGGAGGCUGUAAAUGCAAGGUCGGGUGUGGGCAGGCUGGCUUCUCUGGAGGCCACUCUCCUUGGUGCACGGGCUGGCAUGUCCUCCCGUGGUCACCCCUCUGUGUCUAUGUCCUAAUCUUUUCUGAUAAGGUCAGUGCGGAUCGGGGUCCACCGGGUGACCUCAUUUAACGUGCUCGUCUGCAAAGACCCUGUCUCCAAACAGGUCACAUACGAGGCACUGGGGGUAGGACUCCAUGGUGUCUUUUGGGCAAACGGUGCAGCCCAGCACAUUCCUGUUCUUCUGACCUGUGACAGUGACGGCCUCUCACGGUGGGGGGAGGGGGGGCACAUCGCUUCCCUUGGAAUCUGCAUGGUUCCUAGUGAUGGGAAGGACCUCACAUGACCUUUGGGGCUAAGUCACACAGGUGACACUUGUCUCUGAGACCUUGGGAUCUGGAACCCAUUUCCCUGCCGCGGGGAAGCCCAAGUGGCCCACGGACAGGCCACGAGGCGGUGGGCUGAGACCCCGAGGGAGCCCACACCGGCCUGCCAGCCGCGUGCACUGGCGACCGGCCCCGUCUGAGCUGCCCCAGCCGGUGCCUUAGAGAUGACCCCUUCCUACUAAGUGCCCAGAUGCGGAUUGGUGCGCAAAGUAAAUGAUCGCUGCUGUUCGAGCCGUUAAGCGGUUUGAGAUGCACUGAGUGCCACCAAGCCCCCCGAGGAGGCCCGGGCGGGGCCGAGGGAGGCAGGGCUCCGGCAGCACGCUGGAGGCCGGAGAGGGCGUCUCGGCAGCUUCCUUCCCAGCUAGCACGGAGCCACAGUUUGGGACCGCCGCGAGAGCCUCCUGGGGGACCUGGACCAGCAGCCCACGAGGUCCACGGGACUGUGCGGGGACCCCGCUCUGCAGCGCCUCCACGCGGCAGGGGAGGAGCGAUGGUUCCCCGUGCUGGUCCCACUCAGACCGCUGCCGAUUCAGCAUCUGGAGCCGGGCCUGCUCCUGGGAGUGGACCUCUCCGCCCGCUCAGGUUCCCGUGGCGGGGAAAGCCUCGGGUGGGGCCCGUGGCUUGCUGUGGCCACAGCGGGCCAUGUUUCUCUUACAGCGGAGAGCGGUUCAGCUCAGACUGGGUCCGGCCCCAAGGGCUCAUGUAACUCAAAGUUCAAAGACAGCCAGAGCUUCAGGCUCGGCUGUACCCAGGCGCACAAACGUGUUGCCAAAGUCUUCUCUCUCCAGCUCUCAGCCCUGUCCUCUCUUGGGUUGGCUCUCUCCACGAGGUGGCCCCUGAAAGCCCGUCUCUCAAUAGUGGCUGCAGAGGUCCUAGGAUCACACCUGCCCUCGCCUGGCCAGGUCAUGUCCCCUGUCCUGCACGUCACUGGGCCAGGGGGUGGGACGGUCAUAGGCCCGCCCUGCAAGCAGAUAAGGAGGCACUGACGCUGGCGGGGGGGGGGGGCACUCCCCAAGGGAGGCUGCGAUGCUGUCACCAGCAGAAGGGACACCCACCAGGUUCUCAUCAGGCAAAAGGAACGGGGGUCUAUGACACAAGGGACCGGGUCAGACGCAUGGCUGAGGCUAGCUAGACACAAGGGAAGACGAGUCUCCGGAGCUGAGAGCCGGUCGUCGCUGUGACCUGUGUCUGGAAGCCGCAGUCACCUCCACCCGCCGGACACGGGGGCGGGAAGAGCCCACCCCCACUGCACUGCCGCCCGGUUCUGCUCCUUCCCGGUGCACUCCUGGUGACAGCGUCCCCUCACGGCAGCCAAGGACCAGAAGAGGUCAGGAGACGCAAGGAUUCUCCUUGCUGGCCGCUGGGGCCCCCUGGCCGAGCCACGCCUGAGAGCGUGUUCGUUAACACCAGGCAAGCAUCCUGGUCGCUUAAUUACGGCUUAAUUAAAGGAGACGAUCAGGAGCCAGGAUAAUAAAAGCCCACGGAUAAUGGACACAAUUAAACCGCUUUGUCCCGGGUGACACAGAAGAUGUCCUGUCUGACGAAUCCUUCCUUGAAGCCGAGCCUCCUGGCUCCUCGAUUUGGGCGAUUCGGGUUGAAGAUGGCCGCGUAUCCAGUUCAGUGUCAAGACCAGAGACAGAAGCUUCACUCGGCUCUGACGACUUCUCCGAGUUGGGUGUGAACCCCUUGUUCCGGGCCCACUCCCCACGGAGGGGACCACAGAGAACCAGUCUGUUUCACCAGGGUCCGCGUGGACCGUCUGCCCGUUGACCCUUCCCUCCUUCAUUCAACAGACGUCUGUGUCUGGAGAUUUUCCAGGGAGCCUUCCAGUCCGUCAGGAAAGAAAGACAUUCAGCAGAUAGUCACGGGAUUGCAUUUCUAUCAAGUUGGCUGAGAGACACAGACCUAUGGGUGACGAGUGCUGAAGCGACCGGGUGGGCCAGUUCUCAGGCCAGCGGUGGCUUGAGCAGGAUCUCUGACGGUGGGGGAGGCCUUCCCGGCGUUGUCUAGCUUCCUUCGUUGGAUAUGUCUUCUCCUUCUGCACCUGUGGGGUCCCAGGGACGGCUCUCCACCCGGGAAGGGAGGAUGUCCGCCCCAGCCUUCUGGGCAUCACCCUCGCCACAGUUGAUUGGCCAGGAUGGGUCACGUGGUCACAUCUUAUUGCAAGGCAGGCUGGGAAAUGUAGUCUUUCCCUGGGGGCUGUGGCCCCUUGGUUCUGUUGCCAUGUGAGGGGUCGAGAGGGGCAACUUAAGGGAGACAAAGCCUUAUGGAGUGUGGGUCUGGGGGCUCGGCACGGAGGGAGCCAGGGAGACGUGAAAGUCAAGGGGUGGGUCGGAGAGGGGGGCUUGGUGAGACCCAAGGCUCUGGUCUCCACCCCGAGGCUCAUCCGGCCAUCCCCCAGCGUCAGAUUUCCUGGGUUAAUACACGCGGCUUCUAACGAACUGAAGGCAAGCUGUUACGCGUCACCGCGGCAUAUGAGAGGAAGCACGUGUUUUCCACACACAGCUGCUCCCCAUCUCAGGCCCCAGCCAUGCAAAGUUUUAGAAAGUAAACACCAGUGGAUCCGAGUCAGAACGUUCCAGAUGGCGGGGCUGCGCCGGUGGACGCGGCUCCCGCGGAAGUUGGAACAUUCCCUGCCGAGCAGAAGCUGUGCUGCGAGUCUGUCUCCGCGGAGGCCGGGCGGCUCCUGCUUCUCUCCUGCCUCUUCUCCAAAGGUUUCCCCGAGAGUCCGAGAGAAGCAGGGCCGGGCAGAGGCUCGGGGCUCGGGAGCGUGCUUGCGAGCGUGACCUGUGGGGGCGGCAGGUGCUGAGGCCAGGCCCCUUCCCCCCUGCUCGGAGGGGUGGGGCUGCAGCACGGGCCACGCAGGGCCCCACACGUUUGCCAGCGGUGGUUCCAGGAAGCCCCAAGGCAGGGCGGGGGCUGCGUGUGCUUUUAGAUAUGUGGGGAGACCAGACCACGUGACGUGGCCCUAUUUUCACCUAGUAAUUGUACGUUAGAGACCCGGGAAACGAGCCACAGUUUCUGAAGCUAUGUUUCACCGCUCUGUAAGAUUGAGAGAACUCACGUGAGCCUGGCGACAUGCUCACCGUCCACGGCGGGAAGUGUCACCAUUGUUAUUUCUAGUUGGCAGUAGGGCAUUGAGGGGGAUGAGGGGAGGGGUCCUUGGCGGGAUCUUGAGACCAGACUUCAGGGAAUUCUUUAGGCUCGGCCUGGCCCCAGACCGCCCUGGGGUGUGUGUGUGUGUGUGUGUGUCACGUAAGGUCACAAACUCAGCAAACCAGAUGAAUCUGAAGUUUCACCGCAGUAGAGAAGGAAGACACUCUGUCCGUGGAACCAGGUCUGUAUUUCCCACGUUCCUUUGGCCACAACUGACGUUAAAGCCACGCAGCAGCAGGCAGAGAAGGGCCGUGCGGAAUAUGUCCGCACGGCCCAGGGCGGGAGGGACUCAGGGACGCGGCUGAGCGGGGCCUCCGCCCCCCGUGUCUGCUGUCCCAGGACUUGGCUCAGCGGCUCCUGCACAGCACCCCCCGCCCAGCCCCGAGCGACGUGCUCACAGACCUGUCACCGGAGAGCCUCGCGCUUGCCCCCCACGCGGAACGAGGAUCUCCCGGCAGCACACGGGCCGGCCUGGAUCGUGCACGCGCAGGCUGCCGCCGUCUCCCGAAAGGAGGAGGGCAGGUGGACCGUGCCAGAAUCUCCCACAGCCCCUCCCACCGCGUCUGCGUCCCCGGCUCCCUGGGGCCAGCGAGAGUGCCCCCACGACUCUCCAGCGUGGCUGCUGCACUCCUCCUCCCCUCUGCGGCUCUAAGCUCAGGGGUCAGUGCGCCUCAGCCUGGACAGUGGGGGCUCACGUCCCCCCGGACACGCGAAGAACUCCGGACGACAGCCCCUGCCGGUCGUGGCCAGAUGCCCCCUCGGCCCCCACGGACGGGAGCUUGGCUGACUCAGAGCCAGCCUAGGGGGCUGUGCCAACACAGGCACGCACUCCCUGGGCAGCUUUGGAUCCCUGAUCAAGCCGUGCCCGGACCCCGCCUGCCCCUCACUUCCCAGUUACAGGAGCUAAUAAACUCCAUUUACUCUGUUCAAGCCCGUACACGUUGGGUUUUCCGUUAUUUGCCGCAAAGAAAGUCUCGACCAACGACCAAA